GAGAAAUAUGGCUUAGAGGAGUGUACGUGUGCCAGUUCUGAUGGCAAAGAUGAUAAAGAAUUAUGCCAUGUAUGCUGUAUGAAGAAAAUGGACCCAUCAACUUGUGCCAGUACAGGGUCUGUGCAGUGGAGUAGGCACUUCAGUGGUCGAACCAUCACCCUGCAACCUGGAUCCCCUUGCAACGAUUUUAGAGGUUACUGUGAUGUUUUCAUGCGGUGCAGAUUAGUAGAUGCUGAUGGUCCUCUAGCUAGGCUUAAAAAAGCAAUUUUUAGUCCAGAGCUCUAUGAAAACAUUGCUGAAUGGAUUGUGGCUCAUUGGUGGGCAGUAUUACUUAUGGGAAUUGCUCUGAUCAUGCUAAUGGCUGGAUUUAUUAAGAUAUGCAGUGUUCAUACUCCAAGUAGUAAUCCAAAGUUGCCUCCUCCUAAACCACUUCCAGAGGAGGAGACCUCCACAGCCCAUUCAGCAACCCCAGCGUCAGCGGCCCCGAGAGAGUUAUCAAAUGGGACACAUGAGACGCUAACUGCAGCUUUUGCCUUGGUUCUUCCUAGUGCCUACAAUGGGAAAACUUCACUCCAAAGAGAAACCUAUUAAGUCAUCAUCUCCAAACUAAACCCUCACAAGUAACAGUUGAAGAAAAAAUGG
rnacentral:lncRNA from 1 species